UCUUGGGACUGAGGGAUAGCUCUGUUGGUAGAGCACGAGACUCUUAAUCUCAGGGCUGUAGGUUCAAGCCCCACAUUGGGUAAGAG